UCACUUCAGGCAGUAUUAGACAUUAACGGAUUCCACUGCUUCCCAAAAUGUAAAUUCGAAAGCUGAAUGGACAAAAUUUUCAUUUCAUAAACUUUGUUGCCAGUGGUCUUUUUGUUUCCCCAAAGAAGGGUACGCUGAGGAACUCCCCACCCCUCCGCCCCCACUCCCAAGGAUUCGGAUGCCUCCGGACGCAGGGACAGCCCUCUACCCUGCCUACAUUCUUUGGGCAGUUGCGGCCUCACAGCCCUGGCCCGGGCUGGAGGGAGUAUCUCUCAAGAAUGUGAGGGUGUCGGGAACCCUGACACUGUCAUGAAGAGCAAGAAGGAAAAACUCAGAGAAUUCAAACUCAGCUGGAAACUGCUGGAGGAGCUGCCAGACACAGUCAAGGAAGAGGAGAAACACUGGGGCCUGAGAAGAGGGAAAUUUUAAGAGGCAGGCAGAGGGCCCUCAGCCUCAAGUGGGCAACUUGGACAUCUGCAAGAUUAGGCAGCUCAUCCAUAGUGUCUACCAGGAUAACAUCUGAAUGCCCAGCCUGGAGC